UACGGGGGGGGCAAGCGUUGUUCGGAAUUACUGGGCGUAAAGGGCUCGUAGGCGGCCAACUAAGUCGAACGUGAAAUCCCUCGGCUUAACCGGGGAACUGCGUCUGAUACUGGAUGGCUUGAGUUCGGGAGAGGGAUGCGGAAUUCCAGGUGUAGCGGUGAAAUGCGUAGAUAUCUGGAGGAACACCGGUGGCGAAGGCGGCAUCCUGGACCGAUACUGACGCUGAGGAGCGAAAGCCAGGGGAGCAAACGGG
rnacentral:rRNA from 1 species